GGCCUCGUAGUUGAGUGGUAAGGACACUUGGUUCUCACCCAGCAGUCCCGGGUUCGAAUUCCUGUCGAGGACU